rnacentral:lncRNA from 1 species
UCAGAUUUCAAGAGAAAAACACAUAAUGGCAACCUGCAGCAGAAAUGCUUGCUUUUACUGAGCUGGAGGACAACUCCAAUCUCGAGAGCCAGAAGGAAAAGGAUAGAAGCACUUAGAGGUUCCUGACUUCACAGCUCUGUUUGGGCAUACCCUUGAUAAUCAAAUAUGAACCCGGGAAGUGAAUUUCCUUUUACUCCAUCAAAGCAUGAGAUAAGAAGUUAAGGCUUAAGAUUGAAGGUCAGUGAAAAUUAUUGGUGCUCUCUUUUUUAGUUAUCGUAAAAAUGAAAAGAGGAUUUCUCACAUCUAUAUAUAUGUUGUUCUUAUAUCUGGAACACUUUUACAUUUGGGUUGGAUGUGGAGUUAGUUGGAAUCUGGUAGUUUCUAUCAUCCUUUCUUAAUGCUUCAAAAGUGAUUCAUUUGGUGGCUCUUUCUUAUUUCAUUGAACUCCUAAUCAUGCCACAAUACUGUAUUAAAGAAUAUCCAUGGAUUUCUACUUGCCCGAGAGAUACAUUUUCUGAUCUUUACAUGAAAGACUUUCAUAAUCUCACACCAUCUUUUUUUUUUUUUUAGCCUUAUGUUUUUAUUGUCCAGAAGCAACAGAUUCUGGACACAUUCUGCUUCUCUGCCUACUGUCCAUUGAUCUGCCCCACUGUGUCUAUACCACCUUCUUCAUAAAACUUUCCAAACAUGGGAGCUUCAGGCAGAGCCAAUCGCUCUCUGCUGCUCCCAGAAUCCUCUGCUCCCAGCAUUGGCUCAUCAUGGAUUCCACCCUUCCCUGUAAGUCAUGUAUGUAACUCUCUUGCUACUUUGGCUGUGAGAACUAUGAGGUCAGAGACUGUGACUCUUCCUUUUUGUACAAACUGGUAUUUGUGUGUGUGUGCAUGUGUGAAUUGAAAAGUUCAUUAUUUUUUUCUUUUUAUUUGUUCUUUUUAGAUGUACAUGACAGUAGAAUGUAUUUUGACAUAUUAUACAUAUAUGGAGUAUAACUUACAUAUGAACAUAGGAAAGUUUUGUCCAAUUCCUUCUACUGUCUUUCUUCUUCCCAUCCCAACUCCCUUCUCUAUCUUCCCCUUUCUCUAAUCCAAUGAGCUUUUAUUCUUUGCUCUCCCACUUAUUGUGUGUUAGCAUCCACAUAUCAAAGAGAGCAUUUGACCUUUGGUUUUUUUGGAACUGGCUUAUUUCACUUAGCAUGAUAGUCCCCAGUUCCAUCCAUUUACCAGCAAAUGCCAUAAUUUCAUUCUUCUUUAUGGCUGAGUAAUAUUUCAUUGUGUGUAUAUACCAUGUUUUCUUUAUCUAUUCAUCUGUUGAAGGACAUUGUGUGUAUAUACCAUGUUUUCUUUAUCUAUUCAUCUGUUGAAGGACACCUAGGCUUGUUCCAUAGCUUAGCUAUUGGGAAUUGAGAUUCUAUAAACAUUGAUGUGGCUGUGUCACUGUGGUAUGCUGUUUUUAAGUCCUUUGGGUAUAAAGUGAGGAGUGGGAUAACUGGGUCAAAUGAUGGUUCCAUUCCAAUUUUUCUGAGGAAUCUCCAUCCUGCUUUCUAGAUUGACUGCACCAAUUUGAAGUCCCACCAGCAAUGUAUAUCUUUUCCCUCACAUCCUCACCAACAUUUAUUAUCACUUGCCUUCUUGAUAAUUGCCAUUCUUACUAGAGUGAGGUGAAAUCUCAGGGUGGUUUUAAUUGGAUUUCUCUAAUUGCUAGAGAUGUUGAACUUUUUUUUUCCUUUUUUAUGGUACCAGGGAUUGAACUCACUGGCACUUGACCCCAAGCCACAUCCCCAGCCCUAUUUUGUAUUUUUAUUUAGAAACAGGGUCUCACUGAGUUGCUUAGUGCCUUACUUUUGCUGGGGCUGGCUUUGAACUUGGGAUUCUCCUGCCUCAGCCUCCUGAGCCACUGGGACUACAAGCAUGCACCACCGUGCCUGGCUUGAACAUUUUUUCGUAUAUUUGUUGACCAUCCAUAUUUCUUCUUCUGUAAAGUGCCUCUUCAGUUCCUUUGCCCAUUUAUCAACUGUGUUAUUUGUUGUUGGUUUUCUUGUUUGUUUGUUUGUUUGUGUAGUUGUUUUAGUGUUGUUUGAGUUCUUUAUAUAUCUUGGAGAUUAAUGCUCUAUCUGAGGUGCAGUUGGCAAAGAUUUUCUCCCAUUCUGUGGGCUCUCUCUUCAUGUUCUUUAAUUGUCUCCUUUGCUGUGAAGAAGCUUUUUAGUUUGAUACCAUCCCAUUUAUUGAUUCUUGAUUUUACUUCUUGCACUUUAGAAGUCUUAUUAAGGAAUUUGGUUCCUAAGCCAAAAUGAUGGAGAGUUGGGCCCACUUUUUCUUCUCAUAGGCACAGGGUCUCUGGCCUAAUGCCUACCUCCUUGAUCCACUUUGAGUUACAAUCUUGCAUUUAACACGAAUCUUGACACAUGAUAGAUGUUCAACAAAUCUUUAAAAAAAAAAAGUUUGAUUAAUGAAGUCUCUAUUGCCUCUAUAAAGAAGGAGACUGGGUAGCACUCUGAAGAGUGGAUACUUCUUUUUUCUGUUUUAAAUUUAUAAGCUUACUUAACUGGUUAUAAAAUGAAGAGUAACUAUAAAUCUUUUAAGACUAAAUCUUUUCAGUUUAGGAUGACUGGUGAAGCACAUGUUUUUAAUCCCUUUCCCCUUCCAAAGAUCCAUAGAACUGCCAUUCCCUCACUCAGAAAAAUUAGCAAAACAAUCUGCAUUGGCUUUGCAAAGUAGGGAAGGGCAUUAUCCACAUGGAAACAACUUGAAGGAAUUUCUGCUAAAUACAGUGCAGAUGCAAGAAGUUCGAUAGAACCCGUCAAUAGCUUAAAACAUGUAAAACAGCUCCCACCUGAUCAAGAAGUGGAAAAGUACCAUUAAAACUCCUUGAAUAAAGUGAGUGUGCAGGGGGUGUGUACAGGGUGCUAAAAAUAGACCAGAAUACAUUGGAAAGUCGAGGCUAGUUCAGAAAGCUUUAAAAGGCUAUUUGAAUAAACCAUGCAUGAAAAAAAUAUUAUGAGACACUUAUGGAAUUUGGACGUAGACUGAAUAUAUUUAAUGAUGUUCAGUAAGUACUAUUCCGGUUUUUUUUUUUUACAUGUAAUAAUGUUAUGGUAGUCUUUCAAUACUGUGACAAAAUACCUGAGAGAAUACUGUGACAAAAUACCUGAAAGAAACAACCGAAAGGGACAAAAGGUUUAUUUUGGCUCAUGGUUUCAGAGGUGUCCAUCCAUAGUCUCUUGUCCCUGUGUGGCACAGUGAAUCAUGGUGGAGAACCUGGUGGAGGAAGCCUGCUUACCUCAUGGCAGCAGAGAAACGAAAAGAAAGAAAGAGGAAGGGGCUGGGGUCCCAAUAGCCUAACUUCCUUCCACUGGAUCCCUCUACCUACAGGUUGCACCGCCUCUCAAUAGUACCAGGGACUGGGGAGCAAGCCUUCAACAGAUGGGCCUUUGGGGGAACAUUUACUAUCCACACUAUGGCCCGUGUAACAUAGUACUUUGGUGUUGCUCUUCAGAAAAAGUUCUUCUCUUUCCAACAUGUACUGAAAUAGAGUUAGUUCUUAUGACUCCCAGAAUCUGUAUUUGUGAAUGCACCUACUCACUAAUUUCAUUUGUAAUUGCAAAAGCAAUUUGUUCCUGGUGCUUUUCUGGUCAUUAGUGGACAUGCACGAAGUGGUUUAAAAAAAAAAAAAUCUUGAGUCAUCCAGGACUUAUGUUCGCAGAUGAAUACAGUACCUGGGUGUUGCUUUCACCCCGUACAGGACUAUCCUUUUCAUGGUUUAUCAACUAUCUUGUAAUUUGCAUUCUUGUGCCUUCUAGUAUUCCUUAGCAUAUGAAGUCUGCGAUGUGUCUCCCAGAGAAACUACAUCUGUUAACUAAGCUUCAUCCAGGCAAGAGUGAUAGGGCUGUUGGCUGCAAAUUCUAGGUUAAUGAAUUAACAGCAUGAAUUAAAUAAGGUUUCUCCAAUCAGAAACUUAAAUGCAACAAGGCUAUGUUUUGCUCACUUAGCAAAAGGGUGGCUGGAGGUUCACAAGGAGGCUAACUAUAUUUCCUCAAGGAUCAGAGAUUUAGGGUUCACUAAUUCUGUGUUCACAGCAAACUUUAAAGAACCUAACUACCCUGAAUACCAAGAAUCAGUUGUAAUCACGGAUGAAAUAUGCAUCUGAAAUUUACUGCAAAAUAAUCUGGGAGCCUGGAAGUAGAAAUAUAAAUGAAACAGAUUGGUCAAGAGUAAAUUGUUGAAAAUGUAUGACGGGUGCAUGACUGUUCAUUACACUAUUCUUUCAACUUUUGUAUAUAUCUGAACAUUCCCAUAACAAAAAGGUCUUAUUUUUUUUUUUAAGAGGGAGAGAGAAUAGUACAGUAGAAACAAAAGUUUGGAUUUCCUACAGGCCUUAAAAAUCAUUCAAUGCAUUAUAUAAAGAAAUAUAAUUGUUUAGAAGGAGAAUGAAUUAAAUUUCAUGCAGAGUAUAAAUGAUCCAGUGCCAUGUAAAGUCCGUAUAUACAAAUCUGCAAAAGUAAAAGACAAUGAAUGAGUGUGGGCUUUAUAAAUUGUAAGGUAAUAUAGAAACUUACAUGUCUUUGUUAGAAAGUGAAAAGAAAAAGGCAAGAGAUGUCUAAAUAAAAGACUGCUCUGCCAUUCAACUGCAAUAAAGCUCAGCUUUUAACCUUCAUGCUUAUUUAGCCCACGAAUAAACCUGAUUCAGACCCCUGGGGUGACUCCACCACCUCUGCCUCCCACUCACUCUCUGAGUUUGCAACAGGUCAAACCCAAGGUUGAUGCCCUUUUAUACCUUUUUUUUUUUUUUGCAACAAUGCAAAAAAAAAACCACUUCCUCUCCAGCUCUGACAUUAUUCGAGUUAAUUUUACCAAGCUGAAACUCUGGGACAUACUGUCUGCUCCCAUCCCCAACCAGUGUCUACCAAAUGCAUUUGGGGGAGGGGGGAGCUAGCCUAUGCAGAGAGAUUCCAGGAGCACAAAGGACAGGGUGGGCUAGAGCAAUCAGGGUUGCCAUGGCAGCAUAUAAGCUCUGCUUGUAUCUGUUUCAUAUCUGAGGUUUUACAAAAGAUUUUGCAAGGGGAAAAA